rnacentral:rRNA from 1 species
AUUGAACGCUGGCGGCAGGCCUAACACAUGCAAGUCGAGCGGAGCGGCGGACGGGUGAGUAAUGCCUAGGAAUCUGCCCGGUGGUGGGGGACACCUCCGGGAAAGGGGCGCUAUUACCGCAUCAGUUCAGAUGACCUUAGGUCGGAUGAGCUAGUUGGUGGGGUAAAGGCCUACCAAGGCGACGAUCCGUAACUGGCCUGAGAGGAUGAUCAGUCACACUGGAACUGAGACACGGUCCAGACUCCUACGGGAGGCAGCAGUGGGGAAUAUUGGACAAUGGGCGAAAGCCUGAUCCAGCCAUGCCGCGUGUGUGAAGAAGGUCUUCGGAUUGUAAAGCACUUUAAGUUGGGAGGCGUUACCAACAGAAUAAGCACCGGCUAACUUCGUGCCAGCAGCCGCGGUAAUAC